rnacentral:rRNA from 1 species
CCUACGGGAGGCUGCAGUGAGGAAUAUUGGUCAAUGGGCGGAAGCCUGAACCAGCCAAGUAGCGUGCGGGAUGAAGGCCCUACGGGUCGUAAACCGCUUUUGCACGGGGAUAACACCCUCCACUUGUGAGGUCCUCCGGUUCCCUUACGAAUAGGGACGGGUAAUUCCGUUACAGCAGCCGCGGUUAUACGGAAGGGCCGAGCGUUAUCCGGAUGCAUUGGGCGUAAAGGGAGCGUAGGCGGGCGUUCAAGUCAGCUGUAAAAUCGCGCGGCUCAACCGCGCCCCGCAGUUGAAACUGGACGCCUUGAGUUCACAACAGGCAGGCGGAAUUCGUGGUGUAGCGGUGAAAUGCAUAGAUAUCACGAGGAACCCCGAUUGCGAAGGCAGCCUGUCGGGGUGCGACUGACGCUGAGGCUCGAAGGUGCGGGUAUCAAACAGGAUUAGAUACCCUUGUAGUC